rnacentral:lncRNA from 1 species
GGCCUGCACUUUUUUGUGUGAAUAAACAAAGUUCUCUGAAUAUCAAAACUUGUAAUGAAUCUGAAAGGUCGUACCGGCAAAGGAAAGUAAGGAGUCACAUGACUGAGUAGAGAGUCCCCAAAGAAAUUCCUGCUCACGUCGGUCCCCGCAGAGCCCGACGCCAAGGAAACCCAGCUCCCUGUCUGCCCCCCGGUCUAGCUGUCACCCUGCCCCUUCUCUGGCUGGCUGGUUCCAGACGUCUUCAGGCUCAUCCGUGCACUGGAGGGACCCAGCCCAACCUCCAGGUCCACCCAGGUCACCGCAUGGCACCGCCACCAACGUUCCCAGCGGCGCACGCACAGCAGCCAGGACGCGGAUGCGGCCCCAAGGCCCGUCAACAGACGACCAGAUAAAGCAGUUCAUUCACACGACGGAACACCACCCCCCCAACACCUUCCACGUGACCGUCUCAGGCCGCUCUUCCGCAUAUACACCACCACGUCGGGUGGCCUUAAAUCUCCUUCGCCCCUACAUGUGACUUAAGAAAAGCGUGAGACGUGUGACAGUCUGUUGCAGCCACCAUCACUGCACCCACCCUCAUGUCCUGUUCUCUUCCUGCAAUCUCAGGCCUUCUGUCAUAACGUCCCGUUCAGAGAACUUCCGUUGUCGCUGACGACAAAGCCUUAGUCACCCGUCUGAGAACUGACUUACUUUCCCUUCAUUCCUGAACACACCUGGGCCUCACCUGGACUCUGCUGGUGGUGUUUCCCCUCCUUCAGCACGUGAAGAACGUGGUUCCUCUUCUCUCCGGGCUCUAGCUUUUCAGAGCAGAGAGCUGUGUCUUAGAAACAGGUGCCCCCACAGCAGAGGUACCCUUUCUCUCUGGCUGCCAACUACACUGCCCCUUUGCCUUUCCUGUUGGGUGGCUAAUUACAAUGCGGUUUGGUGUGAUGUUUCUGGUUUAUCCUACUUGGGGGACACGCAGUACUUUCAGAGUCUGUAGGCUUAUGUCGUUCACCAAAUAGGGGGGUUUUUCUAGUCAUCUGUUUGAAGACUUCCUCAGUCUCUCUCUGUGUCUCUCUGACCACCACUCUGAUGGCACGAAUGUGAGCUCUUUUGUUUUUGCUCCAUGGGCCCCCAAGACUCUGCUGACAAUGUAAAAUUUAUCAGAAACCUGUGAUCCUGGAAAACAGUGGAAAGUUAAAAAAUUCCUCAAACUUUUUGUCCUUGAAAAUAGCUUACAGCAAAGAAACACCCCUCCUUACACGAUCUAGGUAAGACUCACCUAAGCUGUUUGCUUAUGUCCAGGUCUGAUCCAGACAAUCCAGACUCCUGUUCUCUGUCUCAGAAACGAUUAGCUGACCCCCCUGCUCCCUCUGAUCAGUCAGAACAAAAUGCACGUUAGCCAAACGCUGGUCUCUCCUUUUACCAAGUCCCCAUGACACAGCCCGCGUCCACCUGAGCCAGCAGACAGCCCCUCCGGAGAGCAGGCUGGCCUCGGUGAGAUGUUCUCUGAUGCACGAUUCCAUCAGAGCCUCUCCUGUUCGUCCCACAUCCCCACACGGGUUAUUUCUAGCCUGGUUCCCUGCUCCACGAAGAAGACCACCACACUGGCCUCAUCUCUGAGAUGCUCAAUCUCACGCUCAGAGCUUUCGCCCUCUGGCAAGGGCCUCUUUCCCCACUUGCAAUAAAUACCCCUUCCCAACAAAGUCUUCCUUUACUAGGCCCAGAUCUGUCUUUAACUCGACAAUGUUACUCGCACUGUGUGAAUUCUGUUCGUCCAGCCCAAAUUCCCUGAUCCUGUCAUCUGUUAUCUUGACUCUCCUGGUAAGUACACCCAGGAAUGUAUUUCAUUUCAGUUAUUGUCAUGUUCAGUCCUGUAAUUC